rnacentral:rRNA from 1 species
GAUGAACGCUGUCGGCGUGCCUAAUACAUUCAAGUCGAGCGAACAGAUCAGGAGCUUUCUCCUUUUAAUUUAGCGGCGGACGUGUGAGUAACACUUGGGUAACCUACCUAUAAGACUGGGAUAACUUCGGGAAACCGGAGCUCAUACCGGAUAACAUUUAGAACCGCAUGGUUCUAAAGUGAAAGAUGUUUUUGCUAUCACUUAUAGAUGGACCCGCGCCGUAUUAGCUAGUUGGUAGGGUAACGGCUUACCAAGGCGACGAUACGUAGCCGACCUAAUAGGGUGAUCAGGCACCCUGGAACUGAGAAACCGCCCAGAAUACUACGGGAGGCACAAGAAGCAAAUCUGCGGAAAUGAGCGAAAGCCUGACGGAGGAACGCAGCGUGAGCGAUGAAGGGUUUCGGCACGGAAAACAGAGUUAUUAAGGAAGAACAGAUGAGAAAGUAACUGUGUAGAUUUGGACGGGACAUAAUCAGAAAGCCACGGCUAACUACGGG